AGCGAACGCUGGCGGCAGGCCUAACACAUGCAAGUCGAACGAACUCUUCGGAGUUAGUGGCGGACGGGUGAGUAACACGUGGGAACGUGCCUUUAGGUUCGGAAUAACUCAGGGAAACUUGUGCUAAUACCGAAUGUGCCCUUCGGGGGAAAGAUUUAUCGCCUUUAGAGCGGCCCGCGUCUGAUUAGCUAGUUGGUGAGGUAAAGGCUCACCAAGGCGACGAUCAGUAGCUGGUCUGAGAGGAUGAUCAGCCACAUUGGGACUGAGACACUGCCCAAACUCCUACGGGAGGCAGCAGUGGGGAAUCUUGCGCAAUGGGCGAAAGCCUGACGCAGCCAUGCCGCGUGAAUGAUGAAGGUCUUAGGAUUGUAAAAUUCUUUCACCGGGGACGAUAAUGACGGUACCCGGAGAAGAAGCCCCGGCUAACUUCGUG
rnacentral:rRNA from 1 species